rnacentral:rRNA from 1 species
UUUUAAUCUUACCAGAGGAACUUGUAUUUUAAUUCGAAAUUACUCGAUAAAUCUUACUUAAAUUAUGUUUGUAUAUCGUCGUAAAAAUAAAACUUUAAAGUAAUUAUUAAGGAUAAUUUAAUGAAAAAUUACAGAUCAAGGUUCAGCAUGUUUAAGAAAAUAUGAGUUACAGUGUGGAGAGAGAAACGGAUAAUUCUUUGAAGAAAAGAAUUUAAAGGUGGAUUUGGAAGUAGAUUGAAAGUAAAAAGU